rnacentral:rRNA from 1 species
GACGAACCGUGCGAACGUUGUUCGGAAUCACUGGGCAUAAAGGGCGCGUAGGCGGCUUUUCAAGUCAGGGGUGAAAUCCGGCAGCUUAACUGUCGAAGUGCCCUUGAUACUGAUGAGCUCGAGGGAGGUAGGGGUAUGUGGAACUUCCGGUGGAGCGGUGAAAUGCGCAGAUAUCAGGAAGAACACCCGUGGCUAAGGCGGCUCUCUAGUACGGUACUGACGCUGAGACGCGAAAAGCGUGGGGAGCGAACAGG